AUACGGAGGGGGCUAGCGUUGUUCGGAUUUACUGGGCGUAAAGGGCGCGCAGGCGGCUUGGGAAGUCUUGGGUGAAAGCCCCCAGCUCAACUGGGGAAUGGCCUGAGAAACCACUAGGCUGGAGUGCUGGAGAGGGAAGCGGAAUUCCCGGUGGAGCGGUGAAAUGCGUAGAUAUCGGGAGGAACACCAGAGGCGAAGGCGGCUUCCUGGACAGACACUGACGCUGAGGCGCGAAAGCUAGGGGAGCAAACGGGAGUAGAAACCCGAGUAGUCC
rnacentral:rRNA from 1 species